rnacentral:SRP_RNA from 1 species
UGCAGCUAGUACUGGGCGUUGGUUUUGUUUAGUUGGUCAGGUCUGAGAAGAAGCAGCCAGAGCAUUACUCAAACGGGUCAGUACUAGCGACAUUA